rnacentral:pre_miRNA from 10 species
GGAAGAGGAGGAAGCCCUGGAGGGGCUGGAGGUGAUGGAUGUUUUCCUCCGGUUCUCAGGGCUCCACCUCUUUCG